CCUACGGGCGGCAGCAGUGAGGAAUAUUGGUCAAUGGACGAGAGUCUGAACCAGCCAAGUAGCGUGAAGGAUGACUGCCCUAUGGGUUGUAAACUUCUUUUAUAAAGGAAUAAAACGAGGCACGUGUGCCUUUUUGCAUGUACUUUAUGAAUAAGGAUCGGCUAACUCCGUGCCAGCAGCCGCGGUAAUACGGAGGAUCCGAGCGUUAUCCGGAUUUAUUGGGUUUAAAGGGAGCGCAGGCGGGCCUUUAAGCCGGCGGUGAAAUCGCGGGGCUCAACCCCGCCGAGCCGUCGGAACUGGGGGCCUUGAGUGCGGCGGAGGCAUGCGGAAUGCGCGGUGUAGCGGUGAAAUGCAUAGAUAUCGCGCAGAACCCCGAUUGCGAAGGCAGCGUGCCGUGCCGCCACUGACGCUGAGGCACGAAAGCGCGGGGAUCGAACAGGAUUAGAUACCCGGGUAGUC
rnacentral:rRNA from 1 species